ACGAACGCUGGCGGCGUGCUUCACCCCUGCCCGUCGAACGGAAAGGCCCUGCUUUUGUGGGGUGCUCGAGUGGCGAACGGGUGAGUAACACGUGAGUAACCUGCCCUUGACUUUGGGAUAACUUCAGGAAACUGGGGCUAAUACCGGAUAGGAGCUCCUGCUGCAUGGUGGGGGUUGGAAAGUUUCGGCGGUUGGGGAUGGACUUGCGGCUUAUCAGCUUGUUGGUGGGGUAGUGGCUUACCAAGGCUUUGACGGGUAGCCGGCCUGAGAGGGUGACCGGCCACAUUGGGACUGAGAUACGGCCCAGACUCCUACGGGAGGCAGCAGUGGGGAAUAUUGCACAAUGGGCGGAAGCCUGAUGCAGCAACGCCGCGUGCGGGAUGACGGCCUUCGGGUUGUAAACCGCUUUCGCCUGUGACGAAGCGUGAGUGACGGUAAUGGGUAAAGAAGCACCGGCUAACUACGUG
rnacentral:rRNA from 1 species